rnacentral:tRNA from 1 species
CGGGAUAGCUCAGCUGGUAGAGCANAGGACUGAAAAUCCU